AUUGAACGCUGGCGGAAUGCUUUACACAUGCAAGUCGAACGGCAGCAUAGGUGCUUGCACCUGAUGGCGAGUGGCGAACGGGUGAGUAAUACAUCGGAACGUGCCCAGUCGUGGGGGAUAACGUAGCGAAAGUUACGCUAAUACCGCAUACGAUCUAAGGAUGAAAGCGGGGGACCGUAAGGCCUCGCGCGAUUGGAGCGGCCGAUGGCAGAUUAGGUAGUUGGUGAGGUAAAGGCUCACCAAGCCGGCGAUCUGUAGCUGGUCUGAGAGGACGACCAGCCACACUGGGACUGAGACACGGCCCAGACUCCUACGGGAGGCAGCAGUGGGGAAUUUUGGACAAUGGACGCAAGUCUGAUCCAGCCAUUCCGCGUGCAGGACGAAGGCCUUCGGGUUGUAAACUGCUUUUGUACGGAACGAAAAAGCUCUUACUAAUACUAGGAGUCCAUGACGGUACCGUAAGAAUAAGCACCGGCUAACUACGUGCCAGCAGCCGCCGUAA
rnacentral:rRNA from 1 species